ACAGAGGUCCCAAGCGUUGUUCGGAUUCACUGGGCGUAAAGGGUGCGUAGGCGGUCGUGUAAGUCUGAUGUGAAAGCUCGGAGCUCAACUCCGAAAUGGCAUUGGAUACUAUAUGGCUAGAGGGUUGGAGGGGGGACUGGAAUUCUCGGUGUAGCAGUGAAAUGCGUAGAUAUCGAGAGGAACACCAGUGGCGAAGGCGAGUCCCUGGACAACCCCUGACGCUGAGGCACGAAAGCUAGGGGAGCAAACAGGAUUAGAUACCCUGGUAGUCCUAGCUGUAAACGGUGCUGGCUUGCUGUGGGCGGAAUCGACCCCGUCCGUGGCGGAGCAAACGCGAUAAGCCAGCCGCCUGGGAAGUACGGUCGCAAGAUUA
rnacentral:rRNA from 1 species